GAGAUAUGGUAGAGCCCAUAUAGGGUUAUCAUUUUAUUUUUCUAACAAGUCAGGGAUAUCCAGGUCUUUAUUUGGAAAAAUUUUUAAGUAUUUCUUU